rnacentral:rRNA from 1 species
CCUACGGGAGGCAGCAGUCGAGAAUCAUUCACAAUGGGGGAAACCCUGAUGGUGCGACGCCGCGUGGGGGAAUGAAGGUCUUCGGAUUGUAAACCCCUGUCAUGUGGGAGCAAAUUAAAAAGAUAGUACCACAAGAGGAAGAGACGGCUAACUCUGUGCCAGCAGCCGCGGUAAUACAGAGGUCUCAAGCGUUGUUCGGAAUCACUGGGCGUAAAGCGUGCGUAGGCUGUUUCGUAAGUCGUGUGUGAAAGGCGCGGACUCAACCCGCGGACGGCACAUGAUACUGCGAGACUAGAGUAAUGGAGGGGGAACCGGAAUGCUCGGUGUAGCAGUGAAAUGCGUAGAUAUCGAGAGGAACACUCGUGGCGAAGGCGGGUUCCUGGACAUUAACUGACGCUGAGGCACGAAGGCCAGGGGAGCGAAAGGGAUUAGAUACCCCUGUAGUC